rnacentral:siRNA from 1 species
UAAAGCAUAAGUAAGUGUCAU